rnacentral:tRNA from 1 species
CAAAAAAUAGUUUAAAAUUUAAAAUUAUAAUUUUGGAGAUUAUGGAUAAAGUUAGUUUUUUUUUGA